AUCACUUCUCAGCCUUUUGGCUAAGAUCAAUUGUAGUAUCUGUUCUUAUCAGUUUAAUAUAUGAUACAUCCUCUAUCUGAGGACAAUAUAUUAAAUGGAUUUUUGGAGCUUGGAGUUAGAAUAGGAGCUUGCUCCGUCCACUCCACGACCUGGUAUUGCAGUACCUCUAGGAACGGUGCACCCCCU